CCUACGGGAGGCAGCAGUGGGGAAUAUUGGGCAAUGGGCGCAAGCCUGACCCAGCAAUGCCGCGUGAAGGAAGAAGGCUUUCGGGUUGUAAACUUCUUUGACAGGGGAAGAGCAGAAGACGGUACCCUGAAAACAAGCCACGGCUAACGACGUGCCAGCAGCCGCGGUAAUACGUAGGUGGCAAGCUUUGUCCGUAUUUACUGGGUGUAAAGGGCGUGUAGCCGGGAAGGCAAGUCAGAUGUGAAAUCUGGAGGCUCAACCUCCAAAUUGCAUUUGAAACUGUUGUUCUUGAGUACUGGAGAGGCAGACGGAAUUCCUUGUGUAGCGGUGAAAUGCGUAGAUAUAAGGAGGAACACCAGUGGCGAAGGCGGUCUGCUGGACAGCAACUGACGGUGAGGCGCGAAAGCGUGGGGAGCAAACAGGAUUAGAUACCCGUGUAGUC
rnacentral:rRNA from 1 species